UCCAAAACUGCCUCCUCAAGUGAAUCAACUGUUGAUUCCAACAUUGUCGGCAAAGUCUCGUUAAUCAUAUGCGACGAUGGGGAAAAACCAAUGCUACGAGGACUAUCCCUGCUAAGCCUUUGUGGGGAGAAAAUUUUGUCAAAGCUUUCACUUCCUGCAAGUUAUAAAUUGCGAAAUGCAGAAUCAACCAAGAAUUCAAAGUUAAACCUGGGAUGCAUGGCUAACCAAGUGUUCAUUCUACUCUAGGAACUGAAUUGUAUAUGCCAUAAGUAAAACUUGAUGUCAAAAACAUAGUCCAAAAUGUUAGGGUUGAAAUAGCAAAUAAAAUGAGAGACACAUCCAACGAAGAAGAAAGCCCACAGAAUGAAAUUGACAUAUUUAAAUUAGCAGUAGCAGCAGCUUAUCUAUACCAAUUAGAGCUUCAGAUGAAUGUGUGGUUAAAGUUCAACUUGAUAAAACAGUAAUGAUAACAGACGUGAGAAUGUUUUGAGAAUAUCCAUAAAAUGCCUCAUGGAUAACAUGUUGCAAUUAUCUCAGGUUUCAAUAGGGCCAAAACUCAAAUUUGGAAAUUUAGAACACAUACAGAUUGAUUUACAAUUUCUUUUCACAAUUUAGAGAGAAAUAUACAAAAAAGUAUUAACAGUAAAUUAGUUGACCAUAUCUUCAAGCACUAUGAAGCAAUUUCAGACAAUUCUAUUUUGCGUCCAUUUCCUAACAGAAGAAUCAGCCAGUUUUCCUGAUAGCAAACAAAACUAUUUUCCUUAACAUGGAUUGCAUUUACAAUUCUCUGCUUCAAUUAAAUUUAUUAAUGGACCACCAUAAUCCAAAAUAAAAUAAAUCGCUUUCAGUAAUAUUUCACGAAAGCAUCAAUAACCGGUUCACCAUUUUUUAUUCGUCAGUUUUCACUCUUUAUAUAUUUAGUCAGUUUGCAAUGCUCUUGUUAAUGCUCAUAUUUUUUGUUGCUCUAUGCUUAAAUUUUCAGCUCAUUUUGUUCAAUUAGCCAACAGUCCCAUUCCACUGUAUCAGGCUCCCAAGUCACAACACUGACACUUGACUCAUCUGUGGUUAACCAAGUGUUAAACGAUGAUAUAUUCCCAACCCACUCACAAUUUUUAACAUCCAACCUAACAACUUGAUAAAUAUUAGGAAAGCAAUUCCAAACAGAAAUGACGAGGAAUUAGUUAAACAAUUAGACAUACCAAGGUUGCUGAGUUGGUAUAUG
rnacentral:misc_RNA from 1 species